CUGACGAGUUAGAGUGUGAAUAUGGGAGUGUGGCUCUGUGCGUGCGUGAUGAGCGCCAGACAGAUUCGUGGAAGAAACUGGGUGGCUGUGUGUUUGUGUGUGAUUGUGCGCACCGGAUAUGGCCAUGUGAGUUGGUUCAUUCUUGGUCCCGUGCCCCUUCUGUUGGGUAAAACUUGGAUCUGGUCCGAGGAGUGAACAGGAAGAGUAAUGAAGUUUAUUGAUCUAAUGGAAACUUGUGACCAGAUUCAUGAUCAAAACCUGGAUCGAAACCUGGAAGAAUGCACUUGAAAACUGUGCACUUCUCAUUUUCC